rnacentral:rRNA from 1 species
UACGUAGGUGGCAAGCGUUGUCCGGAAUUAUUGGGCGUAAAGCGCGCGCAGGUGGUUCUUUAAGUCUGAUGUGAAAGCCCACGGCUCAACCGUGGAGGGUCAUUGGAAACUGGGGGACUUGAGUGCAGAAGAGGAAAGUGGAAUUCCACGUGUAGCGGUGAAAUGCGUAGAGAUGUGGAGGAACACCAGUGGCGAAGGCGACUUUCUGGUCUGUAACUGACGCUGAGGCGCGAAAGCGUGGGGAGCAAACAGG